UUAAAUUGAAGAGUUUGAUCAUGGCUCAGAUUGAACGCUGGCGGCAGGCCUAACACAUGCAAGUCGAACGGUAACAGGAAGCAGCUUGCUGCUUUGCUGACGAGUGGCGGACGGGUGAGUAAUGUCUGGGAAACUGCCUGAUGGAGGGGAUAACUACUGGAAACGGUAGCUAAUACCGCAUAACGUCGCAAGACCAAAGAGGGGGACCUUCGGGCCUCUUGCCAUCGGAUGUGCCCAGAUGGGAUUAGCUAGUAGGUGGGGUAAAGGCUCACCUAGGCGACGAUCCCUAGCUGGUCUGAGAGGAUGACCAGCCACACUGGAACUGAGACACGGUCCAGACUCCUACGGGAGGCAGCAGUGGGGAAUAUUGCACAAUGGGCGCAAGCCUGAUGCAGCCAUGCCGCGUGUAUGAAGAAGGCCUUCGGGUUGUAAAGUACUUUCAGCGGGGAGGAAGGGAGUAAAGUUAAUACCUUUGCUCAUUGACGUUACCCGCAGAAGAAGCACCGGCUAACUCCGUGCCAGCAGCCGCGGUAAUACGGAGGGUGCAAGCGUUAAUCGGAAUUACUGGGCGUAAAGCGCACGCAGGCGGUUUGUUAAGUCAGAUGUGAAAUCCCCGGGCUCAACCUGGGAACUGCAUCUGAUACUGGCAAGCUUGAGUCUCGUAGAGGGGGGUAGAAUUCCAGGUGUAGCGGUGAAAUGCGUAGAGAUCUGGAGGAAUACCGGUGGCGAAGGCGGCCCCCUGGACGAAGACUGACGCUCAGGUGCGAAAGCGUGGGGAGCAAACAGGAUUAGAUACCCUGGUAGUCCACGCCGUAAACGAUGUCGACUUGGAGGUUGUGCCCUUGAGGCGUGGCUUCCGGAGCUAACGCGUUAAGUCGACCGCCUGGGGAGUACGGCCGCAAGGUUAAAACUCAAAUGAAUUGACGGGGGCCCGCACAAGCGGUGGAGCAUGUGGUUUAAUUCGAUGCAACGCGAAGAACCUUACCUGGUCUUGACAUCCACGGAAGUUUUCAGAGAUGAGAAUGUGCCUUCGGGAACCGUGAGACAGGUGCUGCAUGGCUGUCGUCAGCUCGUGUUGUGAAAUGUUGGGUUAAGUCCCGCAACGAGCGCAACCCUUAUCCUUUGUUGCCAGCGGUCCGGCCGGGAACUCAAAGGAGACUGCCAGUGAUAAACUGGAGGAAGGUGGGGAUGACGUCAAGUCAUCAUGGCCCUUACGACCAGGGCUACACACGUGCUACAAUGGCGCAUACAAAGAGAAGCGACCUCGCGAGAGCAAGCGGACCUCAUAAAGUGCGUCGUAGUCCGGAUUGGAGUCUGCAACUCGACUCCAUGAAGUCGGAAUCGCUAGUAAUCGUGGAUCAGAAUGCCACGGUGAAUACGUUCCCGGGCCUUGUACACACCGCCCGUCACACCAUGGGAGUGGGUUGCAAAAGAAGUAGGUAGCUUAACCUUCGGGAGGGCGCUUACCACUUUGUGAUUCAUGACUGGGGUGAAGUCGUAACAAGGUAACCGUAGGGAACCUGCGGUUGGAUCACCUCCUUACCUUAAAGAAGC
rnacentral:rRNA from 1 species